AUAAAUUCAAAGCAGAAUUUACGGCUCGACUUUAAGGCUUGUCCGAUUUCUUUAUACGACAAAUGGAAAAGAAAUUCACUUGUCACAAAAAAAAUCCUCACAAUGUUUCAUCUGCUCUGCAGCUCUACUGUGCGCACUGAAAAAGAGGGAUGAUGCAUCACAGACAGACAAAGUCUGUGACGAGAUGUCAAGAAGCAGAUAUUCACAUUUUAUUACAUAAUGAAAAGCGCCAAACCUUCAGAUGCGCAAGAAAGAAAACGGAGAAAAGAGGAGGAGGAAAAGAAAGCCCAAUAUAGAGGUAUGUCGUCCAAUGUUAACAUAGCUAGCUAAGUAGCAAUAAAGCUAAUGCUAGAUAAUGAUGCUACGAUAGCUGCUGGACUCACAUAUCGUUACAGAUUGAAGGAUAUGAGACUGAAUGACAAGCCAGUAGCGAGCUAUCUGGAUAACUGCUCCUUCCUACAACAUGCACUCAGGAAAUAUCUGCAGAAGCCUCCAGCUGCUGGAGAAGUUACAUCUGGUCUCCCAUCUACACCACUCUCUGAAGCAGAUUUACCUGCAGGUGAAGCAACAACAGACACAACAGACACUUCUACUACUCUACAGCCUGCAGACACCAUCAACUGGAACAGAUCCUGAAGUAUGUGAGUCCAUCAAGGCAGCAGCUAUAGAUCGUGCUGACUGGCAGCCCUGUCUGAUAUGGUGAGGACAGAGAUAGUCAGCAGAGGCCAUAUCAGCUAAAAUAAGACUCGACAUUUACAAAAUGAGAGGAUGGGAGAAGUUCCCAUCACCACCACUUCUACAGAAAAUAAGGGAAUGGAGAGAAAAUCAAGAGAAGUUGGUUGGGUAUAUUCCAAGAAAAAUUUUUAAAAAGUCUUUACUGCUUCUGCUGCAAGCUGAUCUCACAAAAAACUACAAACUCAUCAGUAAUUGAUUUAAUGACUGGAAAAAUUGCAGUGAAAUACUCAAAACCCACGAGAACAGUCCAGGGAUCUCAUUUGUUGAGUAAGCAGGAACGGGGCCUGAAAGAGGCGUAUGCCACUUCCCAAGCAAAAGUUGAGAUCUAUAAAAACAAACUUGAUGGGACAAUGUGCGCACCUGCACCUAAACUCUUACCCAUGCGUAGGAACAUUUUAGAGACAGGGGAAAUCGACGAUGCAGAAUUGAAGUGAAUUUAAUUUAAUUUCACUUAAUAUCAAACAUCAAUUAUAGAUCCACAUUAUCAUAAACACUCAAACCAGCAGUGUUAUCUGUACUUUGGAUUGUAGUGAGCUAUAACUUCCAUAAACAUCUUUCAAUUUGUAAAGAUAUAAAGCAACUCAGAUCUUAAAGUCUGCCCAAUGUUACACAAUGUCACAGUUACACCUUGUUAAUUUCAAGUCAAAUAUCAAUAUUAUCUUUUAUUAAGGAUGUGGCAGGUGGCAGGAUUCUGCAAUGUCUGGGUUGCCUUUCUCCAAUAUUAGCUAAGCAUGAAAAUACUGAUUCAUUUUCACCUUAGCCACGUUAACUUACUGAUGAAAUGAUCAUCGAUUGUAGAAAUCCAAGAUGACAUCAAAUAACUUCAACAAACAGAACUAAAACAUAUUUACAGGACAGAGCGUUAAUAGAUUUUUAAUAUUUGGUUAUACUGUGCAUAUAUCACCAAGUAUGAGUUCCCAUGUAGUUUAUAUGUGUAAAAUGGCUACAGUGAACACGGCUGUAUUGUCAAGCACAGAGACACUGGAGACACAGCGGUGGCUGCCACACACACUCUGCCUUCUCCAGUCACCUCACCGGCUCAUCUUCACCACCUGUGCUCACUGUGUCAAUUAGAGAAAUACCUGUAUGCUGGAUUUUGGAGUAAAUAUAAACUAAUAUAGUGUUUAUUGUAUUUUAGAUAUUGAGUGAGUGGUGUAAAAACUACUGAUACUGGUUAACUGGGAGCUGGCCCACUGCAGGGUGUGUUAAACAUUUAACCAGAGAUGUCUGACUUAACAAUCCACAGGAAUGUUUAUUGAGGUUGUAUAUAGUUGUUUUGGGUUACACACAUAAUUUCAACACGUCUGAAAACGGGGAAAUAAAACGUUAAAUGUCUGUUCAUGCCUGUUGCGGUCCUUCCUCUGCUGCUGCUGAGCACAAGUGACAAGAGAGGCUCCGAUACACUGACUCUCAACACUGAUUGGCCAGGCGUCUAAAGACAGAGAGAGUGAUUGGUGCGGCAAAAGAAACACAUGUACAUGAAUAUUCAUGAAGGCUUUUGCAUCGACCAUUUAUGGUAGAAUGUGGGUGUGUAGAGGGUGGGAAUGACGCUGAUCCAUGAGCGCACAUUUCCAGGUGGACUGUGAUUUAUAAAGGGAAAUAUUCGUGCAUUCGUGUUUACGCAUGGUUUUAUAAAUCUGAUUAUUUUUCGGUGCACGCCAUUUUUGGCUUUUGUGCGCACGUACAAUUUUAGUAUGGAUCCUACGCACUGUUUUAUAAAUGAAACCCCAGAACAUUGUGGGCACAUGGCAUCAUGGAAGGAGUCGUCUAUCCAGUGUAAUCUAUCAAUAACCAAGUGCCAGCGUCUUGGAUGUUACUAACAGGUAAAGGUAGUUAAUAAUAGUAAUAUUUAACAAUUGAUUCAUUCUUUGAAACGUGAUUUGUUUGUUUGAAAAGUAAUUGUAAUUUAUAAAAAUCUAUAUUUUUGUCUUGAAACCAUUGUGGUGUCUGAUGUUUGUUGUCCAUAUUUUUACUGUAGAAUGAGCGGGUGUGUCAUGGACUCAUGGUUUGGGCUCUUUGUGUUUUUUCUUCUUUUGGUUUUCUGUGUUACACUUGUGUUGUCCAGUCUUUUUGCUCAUUCAUGUUAUUUGAGUUGUAUCUUUGAAAGACUGUAUUAGAUUAUUGGUUAGCUUGUAGUGCUGUGUACCUAGGUUGAUUAUUCAGAGACAGUUUGAUUUAUGCUGGCUUGUUAUUGAGUGCUGUUGUGUUUUCUGGGUUUUACUUUGCUCUGUGUUUCUCUUGUGUGUUCCUUCACUCCUCCUGUUUUCAUGUGCUCCUCCUCUCACCUGCCCUGCAGUAGCCUCGUCGGUCCUGCCCUGCUCCUAGUGUCUUCCCCAGCCUAUCAGCUCCCAGCCUGCCCUUGUAUUGUGCCACCUGUUCCUUGUUGUCUGAUUACUUCAGUUUGUAUUUAAGUUCAGUUUUCAGUUCAGUCUUUGUCGAGUCGUCUGUUCAGUUAGUCAAUUCUGUUCUGUCGUGUUUGUUCAGUUUCCUGCUCAGUAGAUUUUUUUUUUUGUAUCUUGUUCUACUCAGCUCAUCCUGCUUUUGUUUUUUUCCUGCCAGUCUUUGAAAUAAAGACGCUUUUCUUCA